rnacentral:tRNA from 1 species
CGCGGGGUGGAGCAGCCUGGUAGCUCGUCGGGCUCAUAACCCGAAGGUCGUCGGUUCAAAUCGCCCCCCAACCA